rnacentral:rRNA from 1 species
UACGUAGGGGGCAAGCGUUGUCCGGAAUCAUUGGGCGUAAAGCGCGUGUAGGCGGUUCAGUAAGUCUGCUGUGAAAGUCCAGGGCUCAACCCUGGGAUGCCGGUGGAUACUGCUGGGCUAGAGUACGGAAGAGGCGAGUGGAAUUCCCGGUGUAGCAGGUGAAAUGCGCAGAUAUCGGGAGGAACACCAAUUGCGAAGGCAGCUCGCUGGGACGUUACUGACGCUGGAGACGCGAAAAGCGUGGGGAGCAAACAGGG